rnacentral:rRNA from 1 species
UACGUAGGGUGCAAGCGUUAAUCGGAAUUACUGGGCGUAAAGCGUGCGCAGGCGGUUUUUUAAGUCAGAUGUGAAAUCCCCGGGCUUAACCUGGGAACUGCGUUUGAAACUACAAGGCUAGAGUGUGGCAGAGGGGGGUGGAAUUCCACGUGUAGCAGUGAAAUGCGUAGAUAUGCGGAGGAACACCGAUGGCGAAGGCAAUCCCCUGGGCCUGUACUGACGCUCAUGCACGAAAGCGUGGGGAGCAAACAGG